rnacentral:tRNA from 1 species
CUCGCGGUAGCUCAGUUGAAUAGAGCAAGGCUUUCCUAAAGCAGAGGUCGGAGGUUUGAAUCCUUCCCGCGGGA